ACCACUGCCCGCACACGACCGCACAACCUCUCCCCUCCUCGCACGACCUCUCUCGCCCCCUCCUCCCCGCACGUCUCUCGCCCCUUCCUCCUCUCGCGCCGUUCGCCUCGCGCCACCGUUAGCUGCAGGAGGCGCCCCACCGCGCCCGGCGACGCCUCCCGCCGCCGUAACCUCCCCUGCUCUUCUCCACCUCACCCCUGUGCCUCCCAACCGCCAAGCCGCCGCCGCCUCAUCUUCUCGCUGCACGGCCGGGCGACGCGGCGAGGCGCGCGGGAGCUCUUCGGCCGGAGACACGGCGAGGCGCGCGGGACGGCCGCUGGCGAACGUGGCCGGACCUGAGACUGUGGCGCGCGCUGCCACCUCCGCCCUCCCCCGGCCUUAUCUCCUACGGAACAGGCUACUCAUGCAUCGAUAGUACAACCAACCCCUUUCCGUGACAUAAUCAACACACAUACAAAAGGUACAUGUGUGACCUCGGCCUCAAUCUCUGCAAAUACACCUCAAAUGCACACUUCAGAUACAUGUGUGACCUCUACGGCCCCAAUCUCUGCAAAUACACCUCAAACACACGCUUCAGCAGGAGCAUCUGCCAACAAACAAGGUGGGAAAGGAUGGCAUGCCAACCUAAGCGACGAAAAGAAGGCUGAGCACCUAAGGAAGCUCCGGAUGAAGGAGAUGUCGUCCAACGUGUUUGUACAUCAAUUACCUACUUUACCUAUAGAUCAACAGUGGUUGGGAGCGCUUCUAAUUGUGGUUACAACAGCGAGGUAAAUCAAUACUUCAUCAAUAACUGACAUAUUCUUGCAGCAUAUGAAGUUAAAAUAGAGGUAGAAUCAAAAUGUACAUGAAUUGGACUGACGAGGCAACAAAGCUGAUGCAUGCUUGGGGACAUUAGGUUUGAUGUUAUUACCGAGAUACACAAGUUGGUGUAGUCACACAUCAUCUUCAAUUUCUGUUAUCCAUAUCACUGCUCUUGGCCAUUGUUGGCAUCAUCAACACCGAGCACCAACGACAAGAGCCCAGUGGUGAACGAGGCCAAGAGAAUCCUGAGAAGCUGCAGCUGAAAGUAGCACUGGAGGUGGUGCCUGGGAGAAGCAGUGCAGGCAGUGGCCUAGAGGAGCGGAAGAGGUGUCUGGGACGAGCAUAGGAGGCAGCGGCGCAACAGUCGGGUGCAGGGGGCCCGAGAGAAGUGGAGGAACUGGUGGCCGGGAGCAAAAUUGUUGGCGGUGGGAUCAGAGGAGGUAAUAAUGCCCGGAGCAGCGCGGGCGGCAAGGGAGGAAACAAGUAUUGAGCUGGCCUAAGUGGCAAUUUUAUCCAUGUAGUCCCUUUGUAAACUAAUAUAAGAGUGUUUAGAUCACUACUUUAGUUAUCUAAACGCUCUUAUAUUAGUUUACAGAGGGAGUACAAAAUACUAAGAGGAAUAUGUACAUGUACUGCUUUAUUAAUUGGUGAUAUACCUACACACUUUCUCCUGGAAAUUUCUUUCACUUGACAUGAUAGUCAUGAUA